AAAAACCUGGGUAAAGCUGGCCCCAGUCCUCGCACAGAGCAGGCACUACCCCAUGGCCUGUCUCCCUGUCUCUGAGAAGUGCCCCACGGUCCCCUCAGCCUAUAGGCAGGGGUGGCAGGGGGAGUGGAGUGCAGAGAAGCAGAAAGGAGAAUAAAGGAAAGCAGAAGCUGCCCCGACUCAUGCAGACAGGCUCCUCGUCUGCUCCGUGAUGACUUUCUAUUUUUAGGUGACAGCGCUCUCUGUGACCUGCUUUGUAAAUAGAUGCUUUGCAGAAAUAGAUCGGGGCCAUCCUGUGCGGGGUGAGAGGAGAAGUGGGCUGGGGACCAGGGCGCACCAAGGGGCUUAGCCUCCCUUCUUCCUCCAACAGGAGAACUGGGCCUUGAGAAAUGAGAGCCAGGAGGACAUCAGUUGUUGGACGAGGGUUACGGAGUGGCAACCCAGGCUGUGCCCCCUUUUCUGGGGCCAUUUUGAGGGCAUUCACUGCACAAAAGUUGUUUCCUUCGUUUUAUCAGAAUUGCAGUAAAUUCAGCCGGAAAGAAAAGAGGAUUCAGCUGGUCACAGCAAGCCCAGCAUGAUAAAAAGAGCAUCAGCCCAAGAUCCACGAGGAAGAGAAGGGACCUAAGCUCAGGUGCAUUUCCUGCGGGAGGUGCUACACUAGGGACCCAUACACGGGGAGUGUGGUCUGUAGUCCUGACAGCUGGGACCCAUGGCCCCACUUGACUCCUGAGGGAUACGACCCUCCGAGAUUCUAGGGCUUGCCCGCGAUCCGCAGCGGGAGGGGGCAGCGUUGGGAUGGAGGGUCCCUCCGCCUGGCCCUGCAGCAGAGGCUGCUGUAGCUGCACCUCCCAGGUGCUCUCUCACUCCCGAUGGGCAUCGCGUCCCAGCCCUGGCCCCUGGCCCUCCCUGAUGGCAAGCGAGGCCUGUGACAGACACCACCUCUGGGCCAGGUCACUUACAGAUGAUGU
rnacentral:lncRNA from 1 species